rnacentral:rRNA from 1 species
CCUACGGGUGGCUGCAGUCGAGAAUCAUUCACAAUGGGGGAAACCCUGAUGGUGCGACGCCGCGUGGGGGCAUGAAGGUCUUCGGAUUGUCACACAAUAUCAUGUGGGAGCAAAUUAAAAAGAUAGUACCACAAGAGGAAGAGACGGCUAACUCUGUGCCAGCAGCCGCGGUAAUACAGAGGUCUCAAGCGUUGUUCGGAAUCACUGGGCGUAAAGCGUGCGUAGGCUGUUUCGUAAGUCGUGUGUGAAAGGCGCGGGCUCAACCCGCGGACGGCACAUGAUACUGCGAGACUAGAGUAAUGGAGGGGGAACCGGAAUGCUCGGUGUAGCAGUGAAAUGCGUAGAGAUCGAGAGGAACACUCGUGGCGAAGGCGACUAUCUGGCACAUAACUGACGCUGAGGAGCGAAAGCGUGGGUAGCAAACAGGAUUAGAUACCCCUGUAGUC